rnacentral:lncRNA from 1 species
GCCAGCUCCGCCGAGGAGGCAGCUGAGCCGGGAACUCCAGCCACUUGGGGGUACAGUAGAGGCCUGAACCCCGGGACCCUCAUUUGCCCACGCGAAAACACCCACCCUGGGGCCCGGGUUCCCGGAUGCGGAGAGUGGCGUGACUGAACUGCAGCUGCAGAAGCAAGGAGUGGACCUUUCCAGAUGCAUACGGGGCUGCGAGAAACGAAGGGAGAAACUGGAGAGACCAAUGAAGGGAGGAAGCAGCAUAUUUCCUGGGUUUAAUAGGAAAAACUUGCUUUCUGCAAACAACUGAAAAAACUGUCCUUGGAAACUGUUUCUUUGGCCCACAUGGAGCAGCUGGAACUUACACUGUGAGGCCCUUGAUGGGACAAGCUCUCACCCCCUGAU